rnacentral:rRNA from 1 species
AUUAUACCGUGAAACUGCGAAUGGCUCAUUAAAUCAGUUAUCGUUUAUUUGAUAGUACCUUACUACUUGGAUAACCGUGGUAAUUCUAGAGCUAAUACAUGCUGAAAACCCCGACUUCGGGAGGGGUGUAUUUAUUAGAUAAAAAACCAACGCCCUUCGGGGCUUCUUGGUGAUUCAUGAUAACUUCACGGAUCGCAUGGCCUUGCGCCGGCGACGGUUCAUUCAAAUUUCUGCCCUAUCAACUUUCGAUGGUAAGGUAUUGGCUUACCAUGGUUUCAACGGGUAACGGGGAAUUAGGGUUCGAUUCCGGAGAGGGAGCCUGAGAAACGGCUACCACAUCCAAGGAAGGCAGCAGGCGCGCAAAUUACCCAAUCCCGACACGGGGAGGUAGUGACAAUAAAUACUGAUACAGGGCUCUUUUGGGUCUUGUAAUUGGAAUGAGUACAAUUUAAACCUCUUAACGAGGAACAAUUGGAGGGCAAGUCUGGUGCCAGCAGCCGCGGUAAUUCCAGCUCCAAUAGCGUAUAUUAAAGUUGUUGCAGUUAAAAAGCUCGUAGUUGAAACUUGGGCCUGGCUGGCAGGUCCGCCUCACCGCGUGUACUUGUCCGGCCGGGCCUUUCCUUCUGGAGAACCUCAUGCCCUUCACUGGGUGUGCUGGGGAACCAGGACUUUUACUUUGAAAAAAUUAGAGUGUUCAAAGCAGGCCUUUGCUCGAAUACGUUAGCAUGGAAUAAUAGAAUAGGACGUGCGGUCCUAUUUUGUUGGUUUCUAGGACCGCCGUAAUGAUUAAUAGGGACAGUCGGGGGCAUCAGUAUUCAUUGUCAGAGGUGAAAUUCUUGUAUUUAUUGAAGACUAACUACUGCGAAAGCAUUUGCCAAGGAUGUUUUCAUUAAUCAGUGAACGAAAG